UACAGAGGGUGCGAGCGUUGUCCGGAAUCACUGGGCGUAAAGGGCGCGUAGGUGGCGGCCCAAGUCCAUGGUGAAAGCUCGAUGCUCAACAUCGAGUCGGCCACGGAUACUGGGUUGCUCGAGCACUGUAGGGGCAGAUGGAAUUCCGGGUGUAGCGGUGGAAUGCGUAGAGAUCCGGAAGAACACCAGUGGCGAAGGCGGUCUGCUGGGCAGUUGCUGACACUGAGGCGCGACAGCGUGGGGAGCAAACAGG
rnacentral:rRNA from 1 species